rnacentral:rRNA from 1 species
AUUGAACGCUGGCGUCAGGCCUAACACAUGCAAGUCGAGCGGGGUUUUCGGACCUAGCGGCGGACGGGUGAGUAAUGCGUAGGAAGCUGCCCGAUAGAGGGGGAUACCAGUUGGAAACGACUGUUAAUACCGCAUAAUGUCUACGGACCAAAGUGUGGGACCUUCGGGCCACAUGCUAUCGGAUGCGCCUACGUGGGAUUAGCUAGUUGGUGAGGUAAUGGCUCACCAAGGCGACGAUCUCUAGCUGGUUUGAGAGGAUGAUCAGCCACACUGGAACUGAGACACGGUCCAGGCUCCUACGGGAGGAAGCAGUGGGGAAUAUUGGACAAUGGGCGCAAUCCUGAGCCAGCCAUGCCGCGUGUGUGAAGAAGGCCUUCGGGUUGUAAAGCACUUUCAGCGAGGAGGAAGGGGUAGUAGUUAAUAGCUGCUACUUUUGACGUUACUCGCAGAAGAAGCACCGGCUAACUCUGUGCCAGCCGCCGCGGUAAGAC